AGUGAACGCUGGCGGUAGGCCUAACACAUGCAAGUCGAACGGCAGCACAGUAAGAGCUUGCUCUUACGGGUGGCGAGUGGCGGACGGGUGAGGAAUACAUCGGAAUCUACUUUUUCGUGGGGGAUAACGUAGGGAAACUUACGCUAAUACCGCAUACGACCUACGGGUGAAAGCAGGGGAUCUUCGGACCUUGUGCGAUUGAAUGAGCCGAUGUCGGAUUAGCUAGUUGGCGGGGUAAAGGACUACCAAGGCGACGAUCCGUAGCUGGUCUGAGAGGAUGAUCAGCAACUGGGGAGAUGAGACACGGUCCAGACUCCUAAGGGAGGCAGCACUGGGAAAUAUUGGACAAGGGGCGGAAGCGUGAUCCAGACAAACCGCGUGGGUGAAGACGGCCUUCGGGGUGUAAAGCACUUUUGUUGGAAAAGAAUAGCGGCAGGUUAAUACCCAGCUGUUCUGAAGGUACCCAAAGAAUAGGCACCGGCUAACUUGGU
rnacentral:rRNA from 1 species